GUCGAACGGUAGCACAGAGAGCUUGCUCUUGGGUGACGAGUGGCGGACGGGUGAGUAAUGUNUGNGAAACUGCCCGAUGGAGGGGGAUAACUACUGGAAACGGUAGCUAAUACCGCAUAACGUCUUCGGACCAAAGUGGGGGACCUUCGGGCCUCACACCAUCGGAUGUGCCCAGAUGGGAUUAGCUAGUAGGUGGGGUAACGGCUCACCUAGGCGACGAUCCCUAGCUGGUCUGAGAGGAUGACCAGCCACACUGGAACUGAGACACGGUCCAGACUCCUACGGGAGGCAGCAGUGGGGAAUAUUGCACAAUGGGCGCAAGCCUGAUGCAGCCAUGCCGCGUGUAUGAGGAAGGCCUUCGGGUUGUAAAGUACUUUCAGUGGGGAGGAAGGCGA
rnacentral:rRNA from 1 species